rnacentral:tRNA from 1 species
GGGGUCGUCGUCUAGCUUGGUUUAGGAUUCCAGCCUUGGGAGCUGGCGAUCGUGGGUUCAAAUCCCACCGACCCCA